AUCUAAAAAGGCUGGUCCCAGAGGCUCGCGUUAGGCAGCGCUGAGCUGAACGGGCUUUUGGAAGGGAUCGCCUGGUGCUUAGGGGAUUUCCACGGGGAGCGGAGAUGAGACACCAAAGCGAGCGCUCGCCAAACUGGCUCAGGCACCAGCAGCGCUGGAACUAGUUGGAUCAGCAGCUCAGCCUGCAGAUGCCCAAUAAAUGGAACCAUCACCAGAGAAGCAACAGGGAUGUGCAGCCAGAGUCAGGCUGGGAUCACCUCUUUUGACAGAAAUAUCAUCUUGGGCGUGAGGCCAAAGUGCUUGCACCAGUGCCGCUACCAUGAGAGAAGACGAACGUUUUGGAUACUUUAAGCAGAGGAGGAGUCAGAGAAGCAGGAAUACUCCCUGUCUGUCCCCUGGCAAUUACAGAAUGUAUGCCAGAAGCUCCUUCUUCAAAGAUAUAUCUACACAAAAAUUCUCAGGUUGCUGGCAUCUGAAAAGGGAAGCAGAAACUGAAUACCUGCAUGUGCAUUUUUACAGAGCUGGAGACCUGAAGCAUGCAGUCUUGGAUUGCUUGAAGCCAACAGAAAAAAAAAUCUGCUAACAGCUUUGAGACAAGGAAGACAGUCACCUUCCGGCGUGCAUCAGCUAGCAGAGACCGUGGGGAUCCGGACGCUGAGGGCUCUGCAUCACCGUCUGCGCAGCACAGCUUUGCUCUUAGCUCAGGAAGUGUGAAUUAGCACUCAAGUUUCAUAGAGUUUAAAGGGUUUGAAGCUGCAGCAAAGUCAGGAUUUCUAUAUGAAAUAUGUAGUAGAGCAGAUAGCUAAGCAGGAACAUCCACAGCUUUAAAAAGCUGCACCUCUAGAGGUGGAAAAUUAAAAGUGAAAUCCUCUUCAAAGUGAUAAAUGCACUGAAGCCUGUAUUAAACAACCUCUCAAGGGCCUGCCAGAAAAAAAAAAGAAAAAAAAAAAAAAAAAAAGGGUCUCUUGAGGGAGGGAGGUCGAUCUGCUGCUGCAUGUUAUUAAAUGCUGCAGUUGCCUUCCCUGUUGCUUUAAGUUUAAAGUUUCAGUGAUGUCUUGAUCUGCUGAUCAGAGUUUGGAUGAUGUGUUAGCUGUGAACAACUGCAAAGGAACAUUUUUCAGACAGCGUUUCGAAUGGGCAGCUGUGCGGUCCAAAAAUAGAAAAACAGCAUUCUUUGGUUGUCUUAAGUCUUUCAAUAAAUCGACAUAGCUAUUGCCCA
ensembl:lncRNA